UCCAGACCACCUGGGAGUUGGAGC
rnacentral:miRNA from 1 species